AGGGUCGUGGCUCAAUGGUAGAACAUCUGCUUUGCAUGCAGAAAAUUCAGUGUUCCAUCCCUGGCAUCUCUA